GUAGGUGAACCUGCGGAAGGAUCAUUAAUGAGUGAGGGUCCUCACCGGCCCGACCUCCAACCCUUUGUCGUUUAAACAAACACCCUUGUUGCUUUGGCGGUGCCGUCCGCCGGCCGGCCCUCUGUGGCCCUAGGCCGGGCGCCCGCCGGGGUGAAACCAAACUCUUGCGAUGCAACUAUAAGUCCGAGUAACCGAUAAAUCAAUCAAAACUUUCAACAACGGAUCUCUUGGUUCUG
rnacentral:misc_RNA from 1 species